UCCUCGGUAACCCGCUAUUGUUGCCAUGGCAUUUUUUUUUUGUUUUGUCAGUAAUCCUCCAGAAUGUUUUGAAGUCUGGCUGAAGAUUCGUGGUCUUGCUGGAUUUUGUAAACUGGUGAAAAUGGAUUCACUCAUCUAACCAGAGGGCCAUAACAACGACAAUACAACAGAGACAUUGUUCUGGACUAUCUUCAAAAGACCCCAACUAUUAAGCCACGCUCUGGGAUAAAGUGCAAUACAUGGAAAGGUUCGUCACUGAACAAAAACACUGUCCAACAGGCACAGACUGAAGUGAAAAAUUAAUCAGUGUGAUACACUGAUCAUUCACAAGGGGCUGCUGUAUCUUCGCCAAACGCUCGGAGAAGCCCGCCAUCUCUGUUCUCCCACAGGAUGGACAUCCCGCCUUGUCUUAAGAAACAGCAGUGAGGAAGGAGACAAAAGUGGAUGAAGCUUUAAAGGAUAGCCUGUGUGGACCCCAGCUUGCCAAACGUUGGGGCUCGUGGACUGUUCCCUGCUCCUCCACGCUUCUGGGAGGAGGUGCCUUCAAAAAACACCCCCCUCGUCCAGCCUCCGGGCCCUGAUUUCCCCCUGGCUAGACGGCCCCAGCGCACCACUUGCCUUUUCUGUGUCAGUAUUCCGUCUCUUUACCAAAAGAAGGUGGACUCCUGUAUUGAUGUGCUGUUUCUGCUGCUAAAUGUAAGACUCUAAACUCCACAUAAGUGCUCCUACAUGCUCCCACCGCCAUAGCCCAGCAGUGUGGAGGGCUGUGCUAGUUAUGCUAGCUCCAUCAGUUGUCAUGUGUCGUCAGGCUGUCAUGUCGUCUUUGACGUUGCUGUAUAAACUGAUAUCAACACAUGA